rnacentral:rRNA from 1 species
UACAGAGGUCUCAAGCGUUGUUCGGAUUCAUUGGGCGUAAAGGGUGCGUAGGCGGCUAGAUAAGUCUGCUCUGAAAGCCCGGGGCUCAACCCCGGGAGGCGGGUGGAUACUGUCUAGCUCGAGUCCGGAAGAGGAGUGUGGAAUUCCUGGUGUAGCGGUGAAAUGCGCAGAUAUCAGGAGGAACACCAAUGGCGAAGGCAGCACUCUGGGACGUGACUGACGCUGAGACGCGAAAGCGUGGGGAGCAAACAGG